GAUGAACGCUGACGGCGUGCCUAAUACAUGCAAGUCGAGCGAACGGACGAGAAGCUUGCUUCUCUGAUGUUAGCGGCGGACGGAUGAGUAACACGUGGAUAACCUACCUAUAAGACUGGGAUAACUUCGGGAAACCGGAGCUAAUACCGGAUGAUAUUUUGAACCGCAUGGUUCAAAAGUGAAAGACGGUCUUGCUGUCACUUAUAGAUGGAUCCGCGCUGCAUUAGCUAGUUGGUAAGGUAACGGCUUACCAAGGCAACGAUGCAUAGCCGACCUGAGAGGGUGAUCGGCCACACUGGAACUGAGACACGGUCCAGACUCCUACGGGAGGCAGCAGUAGGGAAUCUUCCGCAAUGGGCGAAAGCCUGACGGAGCAACGCCGCGUGAGUGAUGAAGGUCUUCGGAUCGUAAAACUCUGUUAUUAGGGAAGAACAUAUGUGUAAGUAACUGUGCACAUCUUGACGGUACCUAAUCAGAAAGCCACGGCUAACUACGUG
rnacentral:rRNA from 1 species